ACACCAUUAGUAUUGGUCAGUUGGGAGAGCAGCUGACUCUUAAUCAGCGGGUCCCGGGUUCGAGUCCCUGUUGGUGCACCA
rnacentral:tRNA from 1 species